GAAUCUUGCGCAAUGAGCGAAAGCUUGACGCAGCGACGCCGCGUGCGGGAUGAAGGCCCUCGGGUCGUAAACCGCUUUCAGCAGGGACGAAAUUGACGGUACCUGCCGAAGAAGGCCCGGCCAACUACGUGCCAGCAGCCGCGGUAAUACGUAGGGGCCAAGCGUUGUCCGGAUUUAUUGGGCGUAAAGAGCUCGUAGGCGGUUCGGCAAGUCAACGGUGAAAUCUCCACGCUCAACGUGGAGGGGCCCGUUGAGACUGCUGUGACUCGAGUCCGGUAGGGGAGUGUGGAAUUCCCGGUGUAGCGGUGAAAUGCGCAGAGAUCGGGAGGAACACCCGUAGCGAAGGCGGCACUCUGGGCCGGUACUGACGCUGAGGAGCGAAAGCGUGGGGAGCAAACAGG
rnacentral:rRNA from 1 species